GAAAUCUAUAGAAGAAUACAGCAAACAAAAACGGAAUCAUCUAAAGAAAGACAUCUCCGAAUAGCCAGUGCCAAGGUGAUCGGCGGGCAGCCAUCUUUUAUUGCUUUCGGAACGGGGCAGUCUUCGGCUAUACCGAAAACAGCUCAGAACAAUCCUGGCGUUGCGGGGACUCAGCUGGACUCCGGUAGCAACGACUGGGACAAAAAGUCCCAAGCGGCCUGGAGGACUCGAAGUAAGUCGCCGAUGGGCGUUCAGUGCAAUACCACAGCGUCAUUGGCUACGGCAAGAAUACCGCAACGUCACCGACGUCAUCGCAGAACUGCUCCACCAGAUCAAGCAUUCAAAUAAUUACGCAGAUUCAGCGCGCAUCUUGGAAUCUAUCUAAAGCGAAGCUUUCGCGCAGCAGUUAAUCAAAUGCUAUAAAUUUGUCCAUAUAAUGCCGGCGUCCUUGGCGUAAAGGAAACUGGCGCCAAAGAAAAUAUGCUCUCCCACGCCCGUGCUAUAGGCAACGCCACACACAGGGCGAUCAUCUCAAAUAGCCAGUUAGAGUUGGCACAAUAAAGGUAGACGUGCGAUUGGCGGGAUCGCGCAAAGCCAGCUCCUGGAGGCUGGUA